AUUGAACGCUGGCGGCAUGCCUUACACAUGCAAGUCGAACGGCAGCACGGGUACUUGCACCUGGUGGCGAGUGGCGAACGGGUGAGUAAUACAUCGGAACGUACCUUAUCGUGGGGGAUGACGCAGCGAAAGCUGUGCUAAUACCGCAUACGCCCUGAGGGGGAAAGCGGGGGAUCGCAAGACCUCGCGCGAUUAGAGCGGCCGAUGCCUGAUUAGCUAGUUGGUGGGGUAAAAGCCCACCAAGGCGACGAUCAGUAGCUGGUCUGAGAGGACGAUCAGCCACACUGGGACUGAGACACGGCCCAGACUCCUACGGGAGGCAGCAGUGGGGAAUUUUGGACAAUGGGGGCAACCCUGAUCCAGCAAUGCCGCGUGAGUGAAGAAGGCCUUCGGGUUGUAAAGCUCUUUUGUCAGGGAAGAAACACCGGCUCUAACACAGUCCGGGAAUGACGGUACCUGAAGAAUAAGCCCCGGCUAACUACGUGCCAGCCGCCGCCGUAA
rnacentral:rRNA from 1 species